GCCGGAGUGGCGGAAUUGGCAGACGCUAUUGAUUCAAAAUCAAUUGCUCCUAGUGGGCGUGUGGGUUCGAGUCCCACCUCCGGUA
rnacentral:tRNA from 1 species